rnacentral:rRNA from 1 species
AGUGAACGCUGGCGGUAGGCCUAACACAUGCAAGUCGAACGGCAGCACAGGAGAGCUUGCUCUCUGGGUGGCGAGUGGCGGACGGGUGAGGAAUACAUCGGAAUCUACUUUUUCGUGGGGGAUAACGUAGGGAAACUUACGCUAAUACCGCAUACGACCUACGGGUGAAAGCAGGGGAUCUUCGGACCUUGCGCGAUUGAAUGAGCCGAUGUCGGAUUAGCUAGUUGGCGGGGUAAAGGCCCACCAAGGCGACGAUCCGUAGCUGGUCUGAGAGGAUGAUCGGCCACAGUGGAACUGAGACACGGUCCAGACUCCUACGGGAGGCAGCAGUGGGGAAUAUUGGACAAUGGGCGCAAGCCUGAUCCAGCCAUACCGCGUGGGUGAAGAAGGCCUUCGGGUUGUAAAGCCCUUUUGUUGGGAAAGAAAUCCAGCUGGUUAAUACCCGGUUGGGAUGACGGUACCCAAAGAAUAAGCACCGGCCAACUUCGUGCCAGCCGCCGCAGUAA